AACGAACGCUGGCGGCAUGCCUAACACAUGCAAGUCGAACGAGACCUUCGGGUCUAGUGGCGCACGGGUGCGUAACGCGUGGGAACCCGCCCUUAGGUUCGGAAUAACUCCCCGAAAGGGGUGCUAAUACCGGAUAAUGUCUUCGGACCAAAGAUUUAUCGCCUUUGGAUGGGCCCGCGUUGGAUUAGCUAGUUGGUAGGGUAAAAGCCUACCAAGGCGACGAUCCAUAGCUGGUCUGAGAGGAUGAUCAGCCACACUGGGACUGAGACACGGCCCAGACUCCUACGGGAGGCAGCAGUGGGGAAUAUUGGACAAUGGGCGAAAGCCUGAUCAAGCAAUGCCGCGUGAGUGAUGAAGGCCUUAGGGUUGUAAAGCUCUUUUACCCGGGAUGAUAAUGACAGUACCGGGAGAAUAAGCUCCGGCUAACUCCGUG
rnacentral:rRNA from 1 species